rnacentral:lncRNA from 1 species
AGGGCUGACAGACCAGCCACAAAUACAGAGAAUUCUCUGUCUAUGUAGACAUUUUUUUCUGUAUUUGCACGACGUCGCACAUAAUACAAGUUACAACCACAUCCAAUCACAACCACAUUCACAGUAUACAUCAUACAUUCACAUCUAUCAUUUGAAAGUGUUUCCCAGCCGAAAACUCAUUUUUGAAAUACUAAAAUCACGAAAAGCUGAAAAACCUUAUUAAAAACUUUCUCCCACACGAAAACCUUUCAUUCUUUGAAAAUGAGCUGCCAC